CACGCCGUCCCCCACACCCAUGUCCCAAUCUCCCACGGUCCAGGCAAGUUCGAUAUUUUUUGGGGCCACUCCUUUUCCAUCGCGCUAACUCCCGUCGGCUCCCCAUCGCCGCCGCGGAACAAUCGCAUCGCUACCGCCGUCUCCACCGCACCCUCGCCCUCACCGCCGGCUCAAACCUCCGCCUCGUCGCCCGCUUCGCCCAUCGCCAUCGCGCCGCCGCCUCUCCCCUCCACCCCCUAACCCUAACCGCACCUCAAAUUGCGUGAAUAUUGCCCGUCUCGCUGCAGAAUGAUCCUCUUGAACGUUGUCGCCCGCCGUUUCCCGCCGCUGUCUCCCGCCGGAGCCGCCCCUGCUUCCCUGCUCGCGCCGCGAUGAACAGGAAGGAGAGCUGGGGUCGGCUCACACCGCCACCACCUCUCCCUACGGUCAAUUAUUCCUGACAGCAGUUGCUUGAAUGCUUCAAAGACUUCUGGAUCCAACCUGAAGCCCUUAUUGUUUGAGGUCAACAAGUUCAGGGAACAAUGAAGAAUCGUUAAAUACUUCUUUUCAAAAAGAAUAGUUAAAUACUAAAAGCAGGAAGGUUUCAUGAAAGGUUUCAACGAGAGGGGAACCAUGAAUGAGCUUUGGUUGCUUAUAUCAGAUUGCUCCUUCUGACGUAAAUUUUGUUACAGCCUUUCCACAACGUAUUAUGCAGCUAUCAAAUUUGUAGCUAUAAAUUCGAUGUUGUAUUAUAUACAAGUAUUGAAAUGAGGUAUGCCCUCAUCUUGUUUCUUGGGGAGGAAUAGAGGCAAAUGGCAAAGGGCGAAAAAUUGGCCAUCAGUA